rnacentral:rRNA from 1 species
AUUGAACGCUGGCGGCGGGCUUAACACAUGCAAGUCGAGCGGGGGAAGGUAGCUUGCUACCGGACCUAGCGGCGGACGGGUGAGUAAUGCUUAGGAAUCUGCCUAUUAGUGGGGGACAACAUCUCGAAAGGGAUGCUAAUACCGCAUACGUCCUACGGGAGAAAGCAGGGGAUCUUCGGACCUUGCGCUAAUAGAUGAGCCUAAGUCGGAUUAGCUAGUUGGUGGGGUAAAGGCCUACCAAGGCGACGAUCUGUAGCGGGUCUGAGAGGAUGAGCCGCCACACUGGGACUGAGACACGGCCCAGACUCCUACGGGAGGCAGCAGUGGGGAAUAUUGGACAAUGGGGGGAACCCUGAUCCAGCCAUGCCGCGUGUGUGAAGAAGGCCUUAUGGUUGUAAGGCACUUUAAGCGAGGAGGAGGCUACUCUAGUUAAUACCUAGGGAUAGUGGACGUUACUCGCAGAAUAAGCACCGGCUAACUCUGUGCCAGCCGCCGCAGUAA